UUCCUAUGCUGCCGAGAAAAGCCUCUAGUGAGUUCAUACACGGCCCGUACCCCAAACCGACACAGGUGAUCAGGUAGAGAAUACCAAGGCGAUCGAGAGAACUGUGGUUAAGGAACUCGGCAAAAUGCCCCCGUAACUUCGGGAGAAGGGGGACCAUGCCCGGUGAACACCUUCACGGUGGGAGCUGGGUGUGGUCGCAGAGACCAGAGAGAAGCGACUGUUUACUAAAAACACAGGUCCGUGCGAAGACGUAAGUCGAUGUAUACGGACUGACGCCUGCCCGGUGCUGGAAGGUUAAGAGGACCGGUUAGCCGUAAGGCGAAGCUGAGAAUUUAAGCCCCAGUAAACGGCGGUGGUAACUAUAACCAUCCUAAGGUAGCGAAAUUCCUUGUCGGGUAAGUUCCGACCUGCACGAAUGGCGUAACGACUUCUCUGCUGUCUCGACCACAGACUCGGCGAAAUUGCACUACGAGUAAAGAUGCUCGUUACGCGCGGCAGGACGAAAAGACCCCGGGACCUUUACUAUAGCUUGGUAUUGGCGUUCGAUUCGGUUUGUGUAGGAUAGGUGGGAGACUGUGAAGCAUGCACGCCAGUGUGUGUGGAGUCGUUGUUGAAAUACCACUCUGAUCGUAUUGGACGUCUAACCUCGGCCCAUGAUCUGGGUUAGGGACAGUGCCUGGUGGGUAGUUUAACUGGGGCGGUUGCCUCCUAAAGAGUAACGGAGGCGCCCAAAGGUUCCCUCAGCCUGGAUGGCAAUCAGGUGUUGAGUGCAAGUGCACAAGGGAGCUUGACUGUGAGACUGACACGUCGAGCAGGGACGAAAGUCGGGACUAGUGAUCCGGCACCGGCAAGUGGAAGCGGUGUCUCUCAACGGAUAAAUGGUACCCCGGGGAUAACAGGCUGAUCUUCCCCAAGAGUCCAUAUCGACGGGAUGGUUUGGCACCUCGAUGUCGGCUCGUCGCAUCCUGGGGCUGGAGUAGGUCCCAAGGGUUGGGCUGUUCGCCCAUUAAAGCGGCACGCGAGCUGGGUUUAGAACGUCGUGAGACAGUUCGGUCUCUAUCCGCCGCGCGCGUAAGAAACUUGAGGAAGGCUGUCCCUAGUACGAGAGGACCGGGACGGACGAACCUCUGGUGUGCCAGUUGUUCCACCAGGAGCAUGGCUGGUUAGCUACGUUCGGAAGGGAUAACCGCUGAAAGCAUCUAAGCGGGAAGCCUGUUCCAAGAUGAGGUUUCUCACCACCUUGCGUGGUUAAGGCCCCCUACAGACCAUGGGGUUGAUAGGCCGGAACUGGAAGCGCAGCAAUGCGUGGAGGUGACCGGUACUAAUAGGCCGAGGGCU
rnacentral:rRNA from 1 species